rnacentral:rRNA from 2 species
GACGAACGCUGGCGGCGUGCCUAACACAUGCAAGUCGAGCGGAAGUAUAGCAAUAUACUUUAGCGGCGGACGGGUGAGUAACACGUGGGCAACCUGCCUUAUACAGGGGGAUAGCCACCCGAAAGGGUGAUUAAUACCGCAUAACACUGAGAUGCCACAUGGCAGUUCAGUCAAAGGAGCAAUCCGGUAUAAGAUGGGCCCGCGGUCCAUUAGAUAGUUGGUGAGGUAACGGCUCACCAAGUCGACGAUGGGUAGCCGAUCUGAGAGGAUGACCGGCCACAUUGGAACUGAGACACGGUCCAGACUCCUACGGGAGGCAGCAGUGGGGAAUAUUGCGCAAUGGGGGAAACCCUGACGCAGCAACGCCGCGUGAGCGAUGAAGGCCUUCGGGUCGUAAAGCUCUGUCUUUUGGGACGAUAAUGACGGUACUUGGGGAGGAAGCCCCGGCUAACUACGUGCCAGCAGCCGCGGUAAUACGUAGGGGGCAAGCGUUGUCCGGAAUUACUGGGCGUAAAGGGAGCGUAGGCGGUCUUUUAAGUUAGAUGUGAAAUACCCGGGCUCAACUUGGGAGGUGCAUCUAAAACUGGGAGACUUGAGUGCAGGAGAGGAAAGUGGAAUUCCUAGUGUAGCGGUGAAAUGCGUAGAUAUUAGGAGGAACACCAGUGGCGAAGGCGACUUUCUGGACUGUAACUGACGCUGAGGCUCGAAAGCGUGGGGAGCAAACAGGAUUAGAUACCCUGGUAGUCCACGCUGUAAACGAUGAAUACUAGGUGUAGGGGGUAUCAACUCCCUCUGUGCCGCAGCAAACGCA